AGGUCGCCACUGCACGCCUCGUCCUCCAAACCAACCUGAUCGGUCGCGCCGCGCCACCGCUCCACCAGCAACUAACCCUAACCCAACCCCCACCAAACCCCUGGUCGUGACUCGCGGGCGUGUUCUUGGCGGCGGCCAUGGACAAGGGCGCGGCGCUGGCAUCGUCCGACGGCGUCCACCACGACCGCCCGGGGGCCAUCGCCGGGAGCGCCGUCGGCACCGGCACGGGGUCGUCGUCGUUCGCGAGCUGGCGCGCGUACGGGCGCGCGCUGGCGCAGACCCCGCGGCGCGUGGCGCGGCGGGCGCUGGCGGCGACGGCGCCGGGGGAGGAGAUGAGCCGCGUGCGGGCGCGGUCGGGCGCGGACAUGGCGCGCGCGCUGCGGUGGUGGGACCUGGUGGGGCUGGGGCUCGGCGGCAUGGUGGGCGCGGGCGUGUUCGUGACCACGGGGCGCGCCGCCAGGCUCUACGCGGGGCCCGGCGUCGUCGCGUCCUACGCCAUUGCGGGCCUCUGCGCGCUGCUCUCCGCCUUCUGCUACACCGAGUUCGCCGUCGACAUGCCCGUCGCCGGCGGCGCCUUCAGCUACCUCCGCGUCACGUUCGGGGAGCUGGCGGCGUUCCUGACGGGGGCGAACCUGAUCAUGGAGUACGUGUUCUCCAACGCCGCCGUGGCGCGCAGCUUCACGGCGUACCUGGGCACGGCGGUGGGCGUGGACGCGCCCCGCGAGUGGCGGAUCGCCGUGCGCGGCCUGCCCGAGGGCUUCAACCAGGUGGACCUCGUCGCCGUCGCCGUCAUCCUCCUCGUCUCCGUCUGCAUCUGCUACAGCACCAAGGAGAGCUCGGCGGUGAACCUGGCGCUGACGGCGGUGCACGUGGCGUUCAUCCUGUUCGUGAUCGGGAUGGGGUUCCGGCACGGCGACGCGCGCAACCUGACGCGGCCGGCGGACCCGGCGCGCAGCCCCGGCGGGUUCUUCCCGCACGGCGCCGCGGGCGUGUUCAACGGCGCGGCCAUGGUGUACCUCAGCUACAUCGGGUACGACGCCGUGUCCACCAUGGCGGAGGAGGUGCAGCGGCCGGCGCGCGACAUCCCCGCCGGCGUGUCCGGCUCCGUCGUCGUCGUCACCGUGCUCUACUGCCUCAUGGCCGCCUCCAUGUCCAUGCUCCUCCCCUACGACGCGAUUGACCCAGAGGCGCCGUUCUCGGGGGCGUUCAAGGGGCGGGAGCGGUGCGCGUGGGUGUCCAACGUGGUCGGCGCCGGCGCCAGCCUCGGCAUCCUCACCUCGCUCAUGGUGGCCAUGCUGGGGCAGGCGCGGUACCUGUGCGUCAUCGGCCGCUCCGGCGUCAUGCCGGCGUGGCUCGCCCGGGUCAACCCCCGCACCGCCACCCCCGUCAACGCCUCCGCCUUCCUCGGCCUCUUCACGGCGGCGCUGGCGCUGUUCACGGAGCUGGACAUCCUGCUCAACCUGGUCUGCAUCGGCACGCUCUUCGUCUUCUACAUGGUGGCCAACGCUGUCGUGUACCGCCGCUACGCCGGGGCCGGGGCCACGUGGCCGACGCUCGCGUUCCUCCUGGUCUUCUCGCUGGCCGCGCUCGCGUUCACGCUGGCCUGGAAGCUGGCGCCGCCCGAGCCGCGGGGCCUGCGCGCGGGCCUCCUGGCCGCGUGCGCGGCGCUGGCGGCGGCCGCGGUCGCCGCGUUCCAGGCGCUGGUGCCGCAGGCGCGCUCGCCCCAGCUGUGGGGCGUCCCCGGGAUGCCAUGGGUGCCCGCCGCCUCCGUCUUCCUCAACGUCUUCCUGCUCGGCUCGCUGGACCGCCCCUCCUACGUCCGCUUCGCCAUCUUCUCCGCCGCCGCGCUGCUCGUCUACGUGCUCUACAGCGUGCACGCCAGCUACGACGCUGAGGAGAGCGGGCGGCUCGAUGUGGACGCCGCCGGCGGCAAGGUGCAGGACGAAGCGUGCACGGUGUAGGGAGUGUAGCUUCGUUGCAUUGGGGCCCGGGUGUCUGGCUGACGUCAUAGAGAAGACUUUUAUUUUUGACACGUGGUACGUUCGUAUCCUGACGAGAGCACAGAAAGAAAAGGUCUAACAAGUGUGCGUGAUAUAAAUGACGAGAUAUGUAUUCUGAAGUAGUAACUUGCAAAGAUGAAAAAAUACCGUUACCGUUCUCUUCAAGCCA